rnacentral:rRNA from 1 species
GACGAACGCUGGCGGCGUGCUUAACACAUGCAAGUCGAACGAGAAUCUGUGGAAAGAGGAUUCGUCCAAUUGAAGCAGAGGACAGUGGCGGACGGGUGAGUAACGCGUGAGGAACCUGCCUUUCAGAGGGGGACAACAGUUGGAAACGACUGCUAAUACCGCAUAAGCGCACAGUACCGCAUGGUACGGUGUGAAAAACUCCGGUGGUACAAGAUGGACCCGCGUCUGAUUAGCUUGUUGGUGAGGUAACGGCCCACCAAGGCGACGAUCAGUAGCCGACUUGAGAGAGUGAUCGGCCACAUUGGGACUGAGACACGGCCCAAAACUCCUACGGGAGGCAGCAGUAGGGAAUAUUGCACAAUGGGGGAAACCCUGAUGCAGCGACGCCGCGUGAAGGAAGAAGUAUUUCGGUAUGUAAAACUUCUAUCAGCAAGGAAGAAAAUGACGGUACUUGACUAAAGAAGCCCCGGCUAAAUACGUG